UACGUAGGGUGCAAGCGUUGUCCGGAAUUAUUGGGCGUAAAGCGCGUGUAGGCGGCCAGGUAGGUCCGUUGUGAAAACCCGAGGCUUAACCUCGGGACGCCGACGGAAACCAUCUGGCUAGGGUCCGGAAGAGGAGAGUGGAAUUCCCGGUGUAGCGGUGAAAUGCGCAGAUAUCGGGAAGAACACCCGUGGCGAAAGCGGCUCACUGGACCAUAACUGACGCUGAUGCACGAAAGCUAGGGGAGCAAACAGG
rnacentral:rRNA from 1 species